ACAAACACACAGACACACACAGACUCACACACACACACACACACACACACACACACACACUCUCUUUCUCUCCAGCCCAGGAGGGGGACUUUUGUUCCUAUAAGAGGAGGAAUAAAUCACACUACAAAUGCUUUGGGUGACGCACUUGGGGCCCGAGUCCUGCUCUGGGGUCAGUGGUGCUGUUUUUCCUGUGGCCUCAGCUCUGGAUACUGUGGUGGCCUCUCCACCAAGGUUUCUGUCCUUGCUGUGUAAACUCUGCCCCAGACAAGGUGACAGAUGACAGCAGAAGUCAAGGAGCUGUGCACGCCUGCCCGUGAGUGUGCGAGUGGCAUGGCUCAGCUGGCUGGUGCUUCCCUUUGGGCCUGGCCCCCGCCUGCCGCUGGCACAGCACAGGGAAGACGUGUGCCCUCCUGGCUGCCUCUCCCCCUCCACACUCUCCUCAGAUCUCUGUGCCUCGCACUCUGGAGCAGGCCUCGGCGCUGCCCCAUCUGCCCCAGGGGAUUUCCAGAGUGAGCUCAGGCAUCUGCACCGGCUGUGGAAGCGCUGGCUGUCGGAAGCGGCUCCCAGUUUCCUAUCCAGCUGAGCCAGGCUGGGGGAGGAGUGGCGGGGACGUCUGCGCCUGCCCAAGUACAGGCUGACCUCGGCGGUGGUGGUGGCUAGGCAGGGACAGCUCUCAGGGCACGGGCGGCUUCACAGGGAAACCAAGCCUGCCCGGAACGUCGUUUUGCCUCCCAGGAGACCUAGGAUGGGUGUAAGGAAAAACACAUCUUCCGGGAAGUACAAAGCGCCACCGUGUCCACGGCCCCUCCUUCAGCAAAUGUAUCCGGGCGCCCAGCUGGGAGUUGUUUGUGGUCCAAAAGCUACUGGAAGGCAGUUCCAGCCCCAGUGCCCGGCUCCUGCAGGAAAGUGGUUUCAGCCAAGUGGGCAGUGCAGGAGGUGGGCCAGAGACACUGUUUGGAGUGUGAGGGGAACCUUGUGACCAGCAGAAAAGGAUGGAGGAGGAUUCCAAACUUCAGGAGCUGGGCCAAGGUCCAGGGGCUGCUGGGCACAGUCGUCCAUGUGUGUGCUCAGUAGGAUGAGUUCACUUAAUUAGUCUGUGCCUCAGUUUCCCCAGCUGCACAGUGGGCUCACUAACAGUAAUCUACCUGGAGGGUUGUGUGAGGUGAGGACUCCCGUGGUAAAGGUGUGCAGCCUGCAGUGCAGUGCCCGGCCAUGGCAGGAGCAGUGCGGGGAGCCAUCGUGAUAAUGGUGUUAGGGUGGCUUCAGGUAGGGGCGUGGCUGCCGGUCCAUGGCACAGACUUGGGAGAUGGCCGAGGCCCUGCCUCGUGGGCUGUCAAGGACUAGAUGGGAACACGCAUAUGGAGCAGUGGCACUGUUGUUAUUGUUAUUCUGUAGGAGUGGCUGUGUCUGGGGUAGGGGGACCUCAGUGCCUUGCUGGCCAAGGGAAGUGAGGGUGGGUUUCCAUCUGGGCAUGAACUGCUGACCUCUGCCCAGGGGUUUUCCUGGCCUGCCAGUGUGUGUGUGUCACUGACAGUGGGGUGGGGGGCAGCUCAUGGAGUUGGUGCCCCUCAGCUGUGCUUUCCCUGGCGUAGGUUCCUGGGGCUGGGAGCAGGGUAAAGCUGCCUCAAGUCUUGGUUUUCUCCUCUGCCUCCCCCGUGUGGCCGCCAACCCUGUGCCAGCAGGUGGUGCAGGGAUGGCUUCCUGCCCCGGUCUCUGGCAAGAAACCCUUUUCCCUCUCCCAGUGGGUCUCCCCAGGUUGUCAGCUCCAUUUAGUCAUAAGAAGAUCUGGGGCCAGGCGCGGUGGCUCACGCCUGUAAUCCCAGCACUUUGGGAGGCUGAAGCAGGCAGUCACAAGGUCAGGAGAUCGGGACCAUCCUGGCUAAUACGGUGAAACCCCGUCUCUACUAAAAAUACAAAAAAAUUAGCCAGGUGUGGUGGCAUGCACCUGUAGUCCCAGCUACUCAGGAGGCUGAGGCAGGAGAAUCGCUUGAACCCAGAAGGCAGAGCUUACAGUGAGCCGAGAUCACCCUACUGCACUCCAGCCUGGGCAGCAGAGCGAGACUCCGUCUC
rnacentral:lncRNA from 1 species